UAAAAAGCCGUCCCAGUUCAGAUCGCAGUCUGNAACCCAGUCGGAAUCGCUAGUAAUCGCGGAUCAGCAUGCCGCGGUGAAUACGUUCCCGGGCCUUGUACACACCGCCCGUCACACCAUGGGAGUCGGGAACACCCGAAGUCCGUAGCCUAACCGCAAGGGGGGCGCGGCCGAAGGUGGGUUCGAUAAUUGGGGUGAAGUCGUAACAAGGUAUC
rnacentral:rRNA from 1 species